rnacentral:pre_miRNA from 1 species
AAUAAGACAACUUUUCAAUUUUUAGAUAUAAUGUUUGACUUUCGUCUUAUUUAAAAAUUUAUAAUUAAUAAUUUUAUUUUUACUAGAUGAUAAGACAUAAAUAGUACUUUACGUAUGACUAUUUUUUUUGAAUUUUUAUAAAUUUUUCAUAUAAGACGGAUGGUCAAACGCUGGACAUAAAACUCACAGUU